UACGUAGGGGGCAAGCGUUGUCCGGAUUCAUUGGGCGUAAAGAGCGUGUAGGCGGCCAGGUAGGUCGGUUGUGAAAACUGGAGGCUCAACCUUCAGACGUCGACCGAAACCAUCUGGCUAGAGUCCGGGAGAGGAGAGUGGAAUUCCUGGUGUAGCGGUGAAAUGCGCAGAUAUCAGGAGGAACACCCGUAGCGAAGGCGGCACUCUGGGCCGAUACUGACACUGAGGAGCGAAAGCGUGGGGAGCGAACAGG
rnacentral:rRNA from 1 species